rnacentral:rRNA from 1 species
GACGAAGGAUGCAAGCGUUAUCCGGAUUCAUUGGGCUUAAAGGGAGCGUAGGUGGCCUUAUAAGUCAGUGGUGAAAUCUCUCGGCUUAACCGAGAAAUUGCCAUUGAUACUGUAGGGCUUGAGUAUAGUUGCCGUUGGCGGAAUAUGACAUGUAGUGGUGAAAUACAUAGAGAUGUCAUAGAACACCGAUUGCGAAGGCAGCUGACGAAACUAUAACUGACACUGAGGCUCGAAAGUGCGGGGAUCAAACAGG